UGGUCCCAGUUCGGACUGUAGGCUGCAACUCGCCUACACGAAGUUGGAAUUGCUAGUAAUCGUGGAUCAGCAUGCCACGGUGAAUACGUUCCCGGGUCUUGUACACACCGCCCGUCACACCAUGGGAGUCGGUAACACCCGAAGUCAGUAGUCUAACCGCAAGGAGGACGCUGCCGAAGGUGGGAUUGACGACUGGGGUGAAGUCGUAACAAGGUACC
rnacentral:rRNA from 1 species